rnacentral:rRNA from 1 species
AACGAACGCUGGCGGCAUGCCUAACACAUGCAAGUCGAACGAGACCUUCGGGUCUAGUGGCGCACGGGUGCGUAACGCGUGGGAACCUGCCCUUAGGUUCGGAAUAACUCCCCGAAAGGGGUGCUAAUACCGGAUAAUGUCUUCGGACCAAAGAUUUAUCGCCUUUGGAUGGGCCCGCGUUUGAUUAGCUAGUUGGUAGGGUAAAAGCCUACCAAGGCGACGAUCCAUAGCUGGUCUGAGAGGAUGAUCAGCCACACUGGGACUGAGACACGGCCCAGACUCCUACGGGAGGCAGCAGUGGGGAAUAUUGGGCAAUGGGCGAAAGCCUGAUCCAGCAAUGCCGCGUGAGUGAUGAAGGCCUUAGGGUUGUAAAGCUCUUUUACCCGGGAUGAUAAUGACAGUACCGGGAGAAUAAGCUCCGGCUAACUCCGUG